rnacentral:lncRNA from 1 species
AGUUAUGCAUGAUUGAAGUUUGAGUGUUCAAUUUUGAUUUCUUCGAUUUGAGUGAUAUGUGUUGUUUUUGGUUGAUUCAUUGUUGGAUCCGUGCUUACCAUGAAGAAACCGGUUGAAUGAUUGUAUUAUUUGUGAUUUCUGGAACAUUUUUUGAUUUUUCUGGAAAAUGUGUAUGAAGAUCAUCAUGAUCUUCAUCUUCAAGCUUGAAGUUCAUCGUGUUUCCAGUUUUGCUACGAAAUAUGCAUGGC